rnacentral:piRNA from 1 species
CAAAGGAACAAAGAAGGAACUCC